GACGAACGCUGGCGGCGUGCUUAACACAUGCAAGUCGAACGCUGAAGCUCAGCUUUUGUUGGGUGGAUGAGUGGCGAACGGGUGAGUAACACGUGAGUAACCUGCCCCCUUCUUUGGGAUAACGCCCGGAAACGGGUGCUAAUACUGGAUAUUCACUGGUCUUCGCAUGGGGGUUGGUGGAAAGGGUUUUUCUGGUGGGGGAUGGGCUCGCGGCCUAUCAGCUUGUUGGUGGGGUGAUGGCCUACCAAGGCUUUGACGGGUAGCCGGCCUGAGAGGGUGACCGGUCACAUUGGGACUGAGAUACGGCCCAGACUCGUACGGGAGGCAGCAGUGGGGAAUAUUGCACAAUGGGCGCAAGCCUGAUGCAGCGACGCCGCGUGAGGGAUGGAGGCCUUCGGGUUGUGAACCUCUUUCGCUCAUGGUCAAGCCGCAACAAUGGUUGUGGUGAGGGUAGUGGGUAAAGAAGCGCCGGCUAACUACGU
rnacentral:rRNA from 1 species